GCGCUCGUAGCUCAAUGGGUUAGAGCAACCGACUCAUAAUCGGUGGGUUGAAGGUUCAAGUCCUUCCGGGCGCA
rnacentral:tRNA from 2 species